rnacentral:rRNA from 1 species
AUACGGAGGGUGCAAGCGUUACUCGGAAUCACUGGGCGUAAAGCGCGCGCAGGCGGCCAUUUAAGUUGGAUGUGAAAGCCUACGGCUCAACCGUAGAACUGCAUCCAAAACUAUUUGGCUAGAGUGUGGGAGAGGAAGAUGGAAUUAGUUGUGUAGGGGUAAAAUCCGUAGAGAUAACUAGGAAUACCAAAAGCGAAGGCAAUCUUCUGGAACACUACUGACGCUGAGGCACGAAAGCGUGGGGAGCAAACGGGAUUAGAAACCCUAGUAGUCC